rnacentral:rRNA from 1 species
UACAGAGGGUCUCAAGCGUUGUUCGGAUUCAUUGGGCGUAAAGGGUGCGUAGGCGGUCGCGGUAAGUCGGGUGUGAAAUCUUGGAGCUUAACUCCGAAACUGCAUUCGAUACUGCCGUGCUUGAGGACUGGAGAGGAGACUGGAAUUUACGGUGUAGCGGUGAAAUGCGUAGAUAUCGUAAGGAAGACCAGUGGCGAAGGCGAGUCUCUGGACAGUUCCUGACGCUGGAGGCACGAAGGUCAGGGGAGCAAACGGG